rnacentral:misc_RNA from 1 species
GAAAUGCGAUACGUAGUGUGAAUUGCAGAAUUCCGUGAAUCAUCAAAUCUUUGAACGCAUAUUGCACUCGAGGCUUCGGCCAAGAGUAUGUCUGCCUCAGCGUCGGGUUAAUACUCACUCAACAACACCUUGUGUGUUUAGAGUGGAUCUGGCUGUCCCAGUUAGUCCAGCUUGCUGGAUUACAACUGGCUGGGUCAGCUGAAGUGCAGAGGUUAGCACAAGGACCCGUUAAGGGCCGCAACUGGGUAGGCUUGCUCAUGCUUGCUAAAUCUUAGUUGUUGGCUUGGAUUCUGUGCUUGACCCACAAACAGGAACCUAACCCUAUUUUCUCGACCUGAGCUCAGGCAAGAACACCCGCUGAACUUAAGC